rnacentral:rRNA from 1 species
AGAGUUUGAUCCUGGCUCAGAAUGAACGCUGGCGGCGUGCUUAACACAUGCAAGUCGAACGGUAACAGAAGAGCUUGCUCUUGCUGACGAGUGGCGCACGGGUGAGUAAUGCAUAGGUAACGUGCCCCUUAGUCUAGGAUAGCCACUGGAAACGGUGAUUAAUACUGGAUACUCCUUCUUCCUUAAUGGAAGUUGGGAAAGUUUUUCGCUAAGGGAUCGGCCUAUGUUGUAUCAGGUAGUUGGUGAGGUAAUGGCUCACCAAGCCUAUGACACAUAGCGGGUCUGAGAGGAUGAUCCGCCACACUGGUACUGAGACACGGUCCAGACUCCUACGGGAGGCAGCAGUGGGGAAUAUUGCACAAUGGAGGAAACUCUGAUGCAGCAACGCCGCGUGGAGGAUGACGCAUUUCGGUGUGUAAACUCCUUUUAUAUGGGAAGAUAAUGACGGUACCAUAUGAAUAAGCACCGCUAACU